rnacentral:tRNA from 3 species
GGCCCCGUGGUGUAGCGGUUAACAUGUCGCCCUGUCACGGCGAAGAUCGUCGGUUCAAAUCCGAUCGGGGUCGCCA